CUGCCUCCGGGCGCCCAACCUCCCACCCGUGAAUACCUAACACUGUUGCUUCGGCGGGGAACCCCCUCGGGGGCGAGCCGCCGGGGACUACUGAACUUCAUGCCUGAGAGUGAUGCAGUCUGAGUCUGAAUAUAAAAUCAGUCAAAACUUUCAACAAUGGAUCUCUUGGUUCCGGCAUCGAUGAAGAACGCAGCGAACUGCGAUAAGUAAUGUGAAUUGCAGAAUUCAGUGAAUCAUCGAGUCUUUGAACGCACAUUGCGCCCCCUGGCAUUCCGGGGGGCAUGCCUGUCCGAGCGUCAUUGCUGCCCAUCAAGCCCGGCUUGUGUGUUGGGUCGUCGUCCCCCCCGGGGGACGGGCCCGAAAGGCAGCGGCGGCACCGUGUCCGGUCCUCGAGCGUAUGGGGCUUUGUCACCCGCUCGACUAGGGCCGGCCGGGCGCCAGCCGACGUCUCCAACCAUUUUUCUUCAGGUUGACCUCGGAUCAGGUAGGGAUACCCGCUGAACUUAAGCAUAUCAAUAAGCGGAGGAAGAUCA
rnacentral:rRNA from 1 species